rnacentral:ncRNA from 1 species
AAGUAUUUCUUUAUCGUCGUUCCACCCCAACUCGCAUUGCCUGUAGAAUUUCAUUUCGAAAUUCUCUGUGCUGGGGCCCCUGACUAGAAUCGAAAAAAGCUUGUUACAAGCGCAUUUUCGUUCAGUCAACUACUGCCAAUAUAACUUUGUAGAGCAUAUUACAUUGAUUUAC